GACGAACGCUGGCGGCGUGCUUAACACAUGCAAGUCGAACGGUGAAGCGCCUUCCUUUUUGGUGGGUGUGGAUGAGUGGCGAACGGGUGAGUAACACGUGAGUAACCUGCCCCCUUCUUCUGGAUAACCGCAUGAAAGUGUGGCUAAUACGGGAUAUUCUGGGUCUGUCGCAUGAUGGGUCUGGGAAAGAUAUUGUUUCGGUGGGGGAUGGGCUCGCGGCCUAUCAGCUGGUUGGUGGGGUGAUGGCCUACCAAGGCGGUGACGGGUAGCCGGCCGGAGAGGGUGGACGGUCACACUGGGACUGAGACACGGCCCAGACUGCUACGGGAGGCAGCAGUGGGGAAUAUUGCACAAUGGGCGCAAGCCUGAUGCAGCGACGCCGCGUGAGGGAUGGAGGCCUUCGGGUUGUGAACCUCUUUCGCCAGUGAAGCAGGCCUGCCUCGUUUGUGGGUGGGUUGACGGUAGCUGGAUAAGAAGCGCCGGCUAACUACG
rnacentral:rRNA from 1 species